rnacentral:lncRNA from 10 species
GUUAAAAGCCAGCAUCACCCGCUGGACACGUCUGAAUCUCUCACCAGAUUGAGAUGCUAUCGAUGCUGGGACUAUGUCAUAUAUCUCUUUUUAUCCUUGGUUCCAAAUCCACGAACCAGGGCCUCAGAUUCAGUGGGAAUGAAGUGGAGGCCCAGAAAGAAUCAUGUCCAGGUGAAGCUCUACCAUUCCCAGCAGUAUUUGAGGACUGGUCGGUGUUCAGCAGCAGCCCCAGCCAGGACCUCCCAGGGGACCCAAGACGGGAUAGGAUGGAGAAGUGGAACCAGGCCCUCUGACCCUAUCCCAGCACUGGAAACUGGCGAGAGCAGGCUAUCCUUCCAGGCCAGGCCUAGGGACAGAUUAACAUCAAGAAUGGGCAGAAACCUCUG